CUGUCCCUCUUUCCCCCGUAAAAGGGUUACGUUUUUCCCUCGCCGCGACCAAAUACCCAGUGCCGCCGUGAAUCCGUCGGGCCUCGCGUCACAGCUGACACAGAGCUCGCCAUGCGUCGUCUCCUCUGCCGUCGCCUGGUAUCACCGUCACCGCAGAUAUAUUGGCUCCCCUCUCUCUAUCCCUCUUGUCUCUUUAUCUCUCUCUACGUGUAAUGCCUUAACCCUAGCAAUUUUCAUUUUUCGCAGAAACAGAGGACUUCUUGUGCCGCCCCCAUCCGCCCUAUAUUAACCACGGAUCCGUCUCUCUUUAUAAAACCCCUCUCUCACUCUAUCCCUCACUCUGUAAUGGCCUAACCCUAGCCAUUUUUUCAUCUGCCUAUAUAUAGAUUUUCAUCUGUGAUUUAUUUUUCGUAGACCAUUUUGCUUGUAGUAAUACUAGGCGUUGGUACUAUUGGGAUGCAAUUGCAGUAGACAAAAUCGAUUUUUUCAUUCCUUUAUGUCCAUGAAACUUGUCCCAAUGUUGCUGUGUUUGCUCUGUUUGCCGUGUUUGCUGUGUUUGGUUGGUGCUGUGCUUAGCUUGUGCUUUGAACUGUGUUAUGUUUCUCCCUAGUAGCUGUUUCAUUGGAUGACUCAUUUACAUGUUCUUUCUUCAUGAAGCAUACCUGUAAAUGCAAGCACAUGCUUCGAACAUCUUCUUCAUUCUCUUACUUUGUGCUUUCUGGUAUCGAUUAAGGAGGAAUUUUAUCCUUCUUUUUGGGAAAAUGUACUCUUCCUCACAACCCAAUGGUAUGAUAUUUUUAAUAACAUGGCUUUAUGAUAAACCGGCUCUUAAACCCCCUUCUCUUGUCCUGUUCAGAUGAUGAUGUAUCAUUUCAAUAAAUACACUCUCUUGUGAUAUCAUAGGAGAGAUUAUAUGGUGCUAUAAUGCUUCUGAGACUAACUGAAUUUGAGCUUUUAAAUUGUUAUAAAUUCCCUGUUAUAUUUCUUUUGUGAUCAUUUUCUGUUGACAAUCAAUACAAACUUCAUUAUAGUAAGGACUGCUGAAUUCCUGCUACGUAAACCACGUAUCAAAUCAAGCAUUUCUCCACGCCUAACUCUUUUAAUGAUAUACCUGAAAUGACAUGCCCUUAAUUGUUUAUCAGAGAAAAGGUUCACAUGCAAGAAAACCUUUUAAUGAUAUACCUGAAAUCACAUGCAAGAAAACUUUUAUAAUGAUAUACCUGCCCUUCGAGAUCCCAACACAUAACUGAUCCCCUUCUUAACUUCAAUUCGACCAAUAUGUGUACCUUCUAUCUUCAAACUUUUGAUUAGCCCCUUAUGACAUGUCUACUCUAUAGUGGUCAUUCGAGAAAAAUCCAAUAAAUAUAAUUAACAUCAAUAUAGAGUUUGAAGUGGUUGUAGGACCUACGCAAGAAUUUUUAUAUAAACUUUUAUAUCAGCUAAAAGUUUCUCCAGCGCGCGAUAUAGACAUUCAAUUUCAGCUUGUUGCCAUUAAUGUGAUUCCUGCGAUUUAGAUGUCUGACAAUUUAUUUUGUAUUAACUAAUGGAUAAUCAAUUUUUAUUAAUGAUUCUAAGCCAUUAAUAACCAGUAAACAAAUAAUAGUUUGCAAUAAUUUAGGCUGACUUUGUAUUACAAUGGGAGAAGUUAAAUCAUCGCAAGACGGUGUUGAACCAACUACGUAGGAGGUUUAAUUCUUUUCACUACGAGUUGCACAAGAUCUACACCAGCUAUGGAAGUCAUAAAAUGGCGUUGGCAAAAGGCACUGAUUUGGUGGAUGCAGAGGUGUGGAAGACUUUAUGCGAUAGGUGGGGUAGCAAGGACUUCUACUCUAUCCGUCUCAUGCUUUCAUUAUAGGGUUCUUGCCAACGUUGUUUUAGAGGUCACAAUGGCCCAGUCUCUAUCUUGUCCGAUAAAUUGUUAGGUGAGGUUGGUGGAAAAGUAUUGGCAAGUGGAGGUGAAGAUGCUACUGUUUGCCUUUGGUCCCUUAACUCUAGUUGCAAGUGUGGCCAGCAGGCGCUAAAGGCUACUCUGUAUGGGCAUGAAAAACCUGUGAAGUUAAUGUCAGUUGCUGGGUAUGAGUUUUCAAUGAUUAAAACUUAAUAAAUGUGACUUUAUUAUUUGAUGCUAAUUAUCUUUUAGGUUUUAAUAUUGUGCACCAAGUAAAAUGGAAUCUUUAUGUUGUGGGUGACCAUUUCUUGUUAUUAAACUGAUCUAUUCUUGUUUUCAUCAUUCUUCCGGGCAUAAAACUUCUCUUUUGGCGACCAUUUUGAAAAAUUCCAAGGUACCUCCAGUUCAUAUUAUUGCUGUUAUUGUUAAUGCUUGUAACAAUAAGCCAUUGGACUUGUUAUUUGGUCAGCUAUUUUAUUAUGCAUGUUAAGAUAUGGAACUAGUACUUAUUUAUGUCAUAGCUUCUGACAUACAUGACAUUUAAUCCUUCUUGAUCACCAUGUCAACACUACGUCAUUCUCUGUCUCUUUCUUGAUUUGUAUGAGCUCUCUGUUUACUUGAGUAAGAUGGUUGACCGAUCCCCAGGGAACAUGGGGGUAUCUCACCCUCAACUUAGGGGAAGAAGAUGAAUAAGCUUUGUUUUCAUUUUUGCUACAUUUGCUUUGAAUUUGGAAUGAAAAAAAUAUUGCAACCGUGUAGUAUUAGUCUUCAAGAUGAUGAGGUGUAGGAGCGGUACACGUUGAUUUUUAACGACUAAACAUGCAAACUCUGUUGAGAACCAUAAAUCUUCACAUGUAACUCUCUUUCUUGUGCCAGGAGAAUUCUAUGCUUUGCCUCCAAUUCCACAACUGUUUAAGCAGAUGUUAAUAUUCUUUGGUACUAAUUUUCUAGCAAUAUUCAAUGAAGUUUGUGAUUCAAGUUUUUAUCUCAUCUCUACAUAUGUUUUUGAGAUGAAAAUCUCCUUUGAGGGACAAGUUUUACCCAGCUAGAUAUUGAAAUGGCUUUCACGCCUUUGGAGGACAAUAUUUCUGCAAGUAUGUUGGACUUAAUGUGCUUUGUACUUUGGUGUGACUUGAGAAGUCUAAAGUUGCACAUGACAAAUAUAAUGUAGUUGCUUUAUGCAUUGUAAUAUAAUGUAAUUGCUUAGAAUAUAAAGCAAGUACUUUGUGUAAUUGUUUUAUGGAUUGUAAUAUAAUGUAAGAUGUGUAAUUUUUUUUUUU